ACAUGCUCAACUACUGGGUCCUUUCCCCUAUGCUCUUUGAAUCCUAUGCAAAAAUAUUGGCGAGGGAAGAUGGAUGUAUUGCUUAGAGAGAGAAAUAGGAGGGAGUCAGAUUGAGAAAUCCAUGUAGCACAUGGAGGUUGUAGGGGACGACAAUGCUGUUGCAGUAUGCGUGGAACGCGGUUCCAAAAUGGUGCUGGGAAGACGAAGGAAUACACCCCAAUCCUUCACUGAUCCAACUGUUUCGCGUUACCAAGUGACGCUGGAAUUGCAAAAGACCAGUGGCAGGGUUCUUGUAGAGGUCUUGGGAACAAACCCAAUCUGUAUACUUCAUUUUAGAGCAGGGGCAAAAGCAGAUUCCUCACUUGAAUUUCUUAAAAAGGGCGAAAGCUCCUACGUUGAGGCUGGGGAUAAGUUUUCGCUGUCUGUGAAAAACCCAAACUUCUUCACAUUAAAAAAGAAGCUGGGGAUUGAGGAAGCUGUGGAACGAAAGCAGAUUCAAGGCAGAGAUUUUAGUCUGAACCCAUCUGACCUUUCAUGGAUCAACCCCUUCGCAGACUUUGGAUUCUUGGUGGAGGGGUCUGAAUUUGAACAGUUUGGGAAACGAUGCAUGAAUGAUGUGAGCCAAUGGGAUUGGCACCUUGGUAAUGAAUCUGAAAAGAGUACUGAUGAUGAAAAUGUUUCGGAAGAUGGAAAGCAAAAUGGUACAAGAAGAAAAAAUAAAAAAAAGAAAGAAGCAAAAGCCACAAAGGGAGAUGUAGAUUGGAUGGGUGAAAGUGACGAGGAAAAAGAGCAGUUAAAUAAACUCAAGAUGUGCAAAAACUCAACGCCAUUCAAAACACGAUCAAAAAGUUCGAGAAGAGAUGCCACUAGCAAUGCUUCAAAACAUGUUGCCUCCAAAAAGGUUCAGUUGGAUGACAGUAUUGAUGACGACGACGACGACACGCUUGGAGGAUUUCUUGUUGAUGAUAGUGCAGAGACAGAGACAGCAGAUGACGAAGAUGAAGAUGAAGAAGAAUUGACUGAUGAUGAUUUUGAUGAAAUUAAAGUUGAGAUGGAAGAUGAUAUUAGAAAUGAAAGUAGUACUAGACAAAGAAAACCUUAAUGCAAAUAUGGGACCGAUUUCUCAGGAAAGAUAUAGAGCAUGUUAAAGAGUUUAGACUUACAUAGUGACUAAGAAAUCUUUGGAGUCCGUGCUUGUUCUCAUCUUUGAUGAAUCUUCUAGAGGAAAAGGAGGGCAGAACUGAAAAUGAAGGUUGCAAGUUCUUCGGCUAAAUGGAAUUGAGUACGUACUCUUUUAUCCACUUAUUGAAGUGUAACUGUUUGGCUGAAAAAAACAAAAGACUUUGGUUCAUUUGCGUCUUCAACUGCAAGGAAGGGGCAACAAAGCAUUGGUAUAUAGUUUCUAAGUGUGCCAACUUGGAUGCAUCUAUUGUAGAGCUUUGCUAGAGUCAAUAUAGAUGAUGAUGAGCCUAUUACACAUGAUGUACCUAGUGAGAGUGGCACUCCAUUUAUUUGUGGUUCAAAUGAUAUUGUACCAAAUAAUGACCUUGAUUUAGAUCUUUUAUGAAGAUUGAAGACAAUUUGACAAAAUUUUUAUUGUGUUUAUUUCAAAUUUUGUAAUUGCAAUGAUUUUCAUUUGAAUUGCCCUAGACAUAUAUGAUAUAUGACAUAAUAUUGAGAUUUUGAACUA